CUAUGGCCAUAUCACAUUGAAAUACUGGUUCUUAUACGAUCACCAAAGUUAAGCAACUUUGAGCCUGGUCAGGACCUAGAUGGGUGACCACUAGGGAAUAGCAGGUGCUGUAA